CCUGCCUUCACGAAAAGGUGUAUCUCGUCUGCGUCCCUCUCUCUAUUCUGCCACUCCGCUGCCAACAAUCCAUUCCAGCCCGUGCAAGGCAUGCCGGUCGAGGAGACCAAGGAAUCUGGUCACGUAUAGUGGUGGCCUCUAACGCCAGUCACACAUAUGGUUCAUGGAAGGCAUUAUCCCCACCAACACCUACUACAGCGAUAGACUUUCGCAAGCAACUUCUCUUUAGUCUUCUUCAGCCUCGAGCAGCUUGAGGAUGUGAGGGGCGAGGCUAAGAAGAAGGUGCGCGACAUGUAUGAGAAUGUGUGUAGCAGUGAUAUUAAGACCCCAAGGCUAUAGGCCGUUUCACACCGGAGACGACGCACACGACGCACGAAAGUCGGCCUGACUUUGGUUGCUAUGGGUAUGUUCACACCAGGCGCGAAGCUAGGCGAGACAUUCGCGGUGGUGGAGGCUGGUUGACUUGACAAUUCUUGACGUGACACUCCGGUUACUGAUGGAGCUGACACCGUCCCGUCACCGCCUUUCUCAUCAUGACUGUUUUCCAGGGCCACAGAGAUGACUAGCCUGGUUUUCAAUAGUGUUUCUUCAAUUGAUAAUACAAAAAUCUUCUUUUCGAAUUGUGGGGAAACGUACCAAAACAUGAAACAGUUCAAGAUUCUCACUAUAUCUUUUCCCUGAACAAACAACUGUAUCGGUGUUACGCCCAAACUCAAAAGCAAGAGUAACUGCAGUUGCCAAAUCUUAUAUUAGGUAUCAGAUCAAUGUGAAUUGCACUCAGAGGUGUUAACGACAGUUGCAAAUGCUCUUAUCUUAAGUUAGGAUAUGUUAUUGACAGAUAUUGACAUAACAACGCCUAAAUCUUCUUCAAUAAAUAAGUAGAUAUCAUAAGCAUGUUAGAAAGUUACCUAUAACACAGACAGAUAGGUCAUGGAUGAAUAUGUAACAAUUCUGAUUCUAAUUGUAUAAGGAUAAGAAAAGGUAAAUUUAGUGCAGUUGUGGCGUCGCCUAGGGGUGUAAGGAACUUAUGAAUCGCCUUAGGGCGUCAGUCGGGUAGUGAGCGUGCCGCCAAAAAGAUCAGGUGCGAGGUCAGCGAAAAGUAUACACUCAAAUUUACUAGACAAGAAGCAACGUACCGACUUUCAAUCGUGAAAUGUGAUUGUGUGCGUGCGAGAACAUUGUAAUUUGUGAGAAGAAUUAUCCUUUGUAAUAAAACCAAGAAAGGAA